GAUAGGAAGUUGACCUACUGUGACAUCCUCUACCCUCUUGGUUGCCAAGGUUGGGUCAGCUGAUCUGGCAAGCUAAAGGGUGUCCCCUUCCUCCCUCACCCACCUGGUGAGCCCUUCCUGAAACCAACCCAAAGAAGCUGACCUUCUCGGCUCGAGGGAAAUUGUAUAGGAGUAACUGUGCUGCUUUGGCAGAGAGCUAAAGGAUUUCUCAGAGUUCUUAUCUAUCUUGCCAGAAGCUGCACAGUGAGACGGAGAUGGAUCUGGGCUC
rnacentral:snRNA from 1 species